rnacentral:rRNA from 1 species
CCGAAUGGGGAAACCCAGUGUGAUUCGUCACACUAUCAUUAACUGAAUCCAUAGGUUAAUGAGGCGAACCGGGGGAACUGAAACAUCUAAGUACCCCGAGGAAAAGAAAUCAACCGAGAUUCCCCCAGUAGCGGCGAGCGAACGGGGAGGAGCCCAGAGCCUGAAUCAGCAUGUGUGUUAGUGGAAGCGUCUGGAAAGGCGCGCGAUACAGGGUGACAGCCCCGUACACAAAAGCGCAUGUGCUGUGAGCUCGAUGAGUAGGGCGGGACACGUGGUAUCCUGUCUGAAUAUGGGGGGACCAUCCUCCAAGGCUAAAUACUCCUGACUGACCGAUAGUGAACCAGUACCGUGAGGGAAAGGCGAAAAGAACCCCGGCGAGGGGAGUGAAAAAGAACCUGAAACCGUGUACGUACAAGCAGUGGGAGCNNAUAGGGGAGCCGGAGGGAAACCGAGUCUUAAUUGGGCGUUAAGUUGCAGGGUAUAGACCCGAAACCCGGUGAUCUAGCCAUGGGCAGGUUGAAGGUUGGGUAACACUAACUGGAGGACCGAACCGACUAAUGUUGAAAAAUUAGCGGAUGACCUGUGGCUGGGGGUGAAAGGCCAAUCAAACCGGGAGAUAGCUGGUUCUCCCCGAAAGCUAUUUAGGUAGCGCCUCGUGAAUUCAUCUCCGGGGGUAGAGCACUGUUUCGGCUAGGGGGCCAUCCCGGCUUACCAACCCGAUGCAAACUGCGAAUACCGGAGAAUGUUAUCACGGGAGACACACGGCGGGUGCUAACGUCCGUCGUGAAGAGGGAAACAACCCAGACCGCCAGCUAAGGUCCCAAAGUCAUGGUUAAGUGGGAAACGAUGUGGGAAGGCCCAGACAGCCAGGAUGUUGGCUUAGAAGCAGCCAUCAUUUAAAGAAAGCGUAAUAGCUCACUGGUCGAGUCGGCCUGCGCGGAAGAUGUAACGGGGCUAAACCAUGCACCGAAGCUGCGGCAGCGAACGUAUCACCCAAGACAACUUUACGGAGUUGACGAUUGACGGAGCGAAGCGACGUCAAAGCGUUCAUUAAAGUCGAGUUGGCUUAGGGAUACGUUCGUUGGGUAGGGGAGCGUUCUGUAAGCCUGUGAAGGUGUGUCGUGAGGCAUGCUGGAGGUAUCAGAAGUGCGAAUGCUGACAUAAGUAACGAUAAAGCGGGUGAAAAGCCCGCUCGCCGGAAGACCAAGGGUUCCUGUCCAACGUUAAUCGGGGCAGGGUGAGUCGACCCCUAAGGCGAGGCCGAAAGGCGUAGUCGAUGGGAAACGGGUUAAUAUUCCCGUACUUGGUGUUACUGCGAAGGGGGGACGGAGAAGGCUAUGUUGGCCGGGCGACGGUUGUCCCGGUUUAAGCGUGUAGGUGUGUGUUCCAGGUAAAUCCGGUUCACUUUAACACUGAGGCGUGACGACGAGGCACUACGGUGCUGAAGCAACAAAUGCCCUGCUUCCAGGAAAAGCCUCUAAGCAUCAGGUAACACGAAAUCGUACCCCAAACCGACACAGGUGGUCAGGUAGAGAAUACCAAGGCGCUUGAGAGAACUCGGGUGAAGGAACUAGGCAAAAUGGUGCCGUAACUUCGGGAGAAGGCACGCUGACACGUAGGUGAAGUGAUUUACUCAUGGAGCUGAAGUCAGUCGAAGAUACCAGCUGGCUGCAACUGUUUAUUAAAAACACAGCACUGUGCAAACACGAAAGUGGACGUAUACGGUGUGACGCCUGCCCGGUGCCGGAAGGUUAAUUGAUGGGGUCAGCGUAAGCGAAGCUCCUGAUCGAAGCCCCGGUAAACGGCGGCCGUAACUAUAACGGUCCUAAGGUAGCGAAAUUCCUUGUCGGGUAAGUUCCGACCUGCACGAAUGGCGUAAUGAUGGCCAGGCUGUCUCCACCCGAGACUCAGUGAAAUUGAACUCGCUGUGAAGAUGCAGUGUACCCGCGGCAAGACGGAAAGACCCCGUGAACCUUUACUAUAGCUUGACACUGAACAUUGAGCCUUGAUGUGUAGGAUAGGUGGGAGGCUUUGAAGUGUGGACGCCAGUCUGCAUGGAGCCGACCUUGAAAUACCACCCUUUAAUGUUUGAUGUUCUAACGUGGACCCGUAAUCCGGGUUGCGGACAGUGUCUGGUGGGUAGUUUGACUGGGGCGGUCUCCUCCUAAAGAGUAACGGAGGAGCACGAAGGUUGGCUAAUCCUGGUCGGACAUCAGGAGGUUAGUGCAAUGGCAUAAGCCAGCUUGACUGCGAGCGUGACGGCGCGAGCAGGUGCGAAAGCAGGUCAUAGUGAUCCGGUGGUUCUGAAUGGAAGGGCCAUCGCUCAACGGAUAAAAGGUACUCCGGGGAUAACAGGCUGAUACCGCCCAAGAGUUCAUAUCGACGGCGGUGUUUGGCACCUCGAUGUCGGCUCAUCACAUCCUGGGGCUGAAGUAGGUCCCAAGGGUAUGGCUGUUCGCCAUUUAAAGUGGUACGCGAGCUGGGUUUAGAACGUCGUGAGACAGUUCGGUCCCUAUCUGCCGUGGGCGCUGGAGAACUGAGGGGGGCUGCUCCUAGUACGAGAGGACCGGAGUGGACGCAUCACUGGUGUUCGGGUUGUCAUGCCAAUGGCACUGCCCGGUAGCUAAAUGCGGAAGAGAUAAGUGCUGAAAGCAUCUAAGCACGAAACUUGCCCCGAGAUGAGUUCUCCCUGAGACUUAGAGUCUCCUGAAGGAACGUUGAAGACGACGACGUUGAUAGGCCGGGUGUGUAAGCGCAGCGAUGCGUUGAGCUAACCGGUACUAAUGAACCGUGAGGCUUAACCUUACAACGCCGAAG